rnacentral:rRNA from 1 species
UGGGGAAUUUUCCGCAAUGGGCGCAAGCCUGACGGAGCAACGCCGCGUGAGGGAGGACGGCCUGUGGGUUGUAAACCUCUUUUCUCAGGGAAGAAGAUUCUGACGGUACCUGAGGAAUCAGCAUCGUCUAACUCCGUGCCAGCAGCCGCGGUAAGACGGUGGAUGCAAGCGUUAUCGGGAAUUAUUGGGCGUAAAGCGUCCGUAGGUGGUCGUUCUAGUCUGUUGUCAUAGGCCGCAGCUCAACUGUGGUUGCGCGAUGGAUACUGUAUGACUAGAGUGUGGUAGGGGUAGAGGGAAUUCCUAGUGUAUCGGUGAAAUGCGUAGAUAUUAGGAAGAACACCAGUGGCGAAGGCGCUCUACUGGGCCAUAACUGACACUGAUGGACGAAAGCUAGGGGAGCGAAAGGGAUUAGAUACCCCCGUAGUCC